AGCAGCGUGGCUCAGUGGAAAGAGCGUGGGCUUGAGAGUCAGAGGUCAUGGGUUCUAAUCCCAUCUCCACUG
rnacentral:tRNA from 1 species